GUUUGCUUUGGGGGUUUGUGUUUAGUUUUCGUGUAGAGAUAAGCUGUAUUCAGCUCUGGACAGCGGCUCGGCUUGUGAGAGCCCUGUGACCUGUAGGAAAGGGUCUGGGAAUAUUGCGCGCUCUUCUCGGGAGGCUGCCUGAGGAAAAGGAGCAGCAGUUCUCGCAGGGACACCGCCGUGCUCUCAACAGGAUUCGGCUGCUGCGUUCACGGCAGCGUGUGCUUUAGCACGGGUGGGGAGCGGGCUGCAGUCGUGGUGUCACAGAACAGUCUGAAUGCACUGAAGCUGGGCAGAGGGGGCUCCGAAUUAGGCCCUGCGUCUCAGACAGGACGUGACAGAAGAUGCGGGAAAAAGCUACGAAACAGUGGAGAAUGCGGAGGAAAUGCUUACUGAGGAGAGCUUCAAGGACGCGGCCCUGGCUCAGAGGGGAGCGUGAAUAGGAGCAGGCUGGCACAGCAGUGAGGCGGCUCUGGAGCAGGUGCCGGGUGAGCCCAGGAUCCGCUGCCUCCGCCCCGUUCCCCGUCCCUCGGGCCCUCGCGCCGUCCCUGCCGCCGCCUGUCCCGGGCUCCCGCCUCGGCGCAGGGGCUGUCCCCGCUCCGCGAGGCUGUUCUUGGAGAACGUGGCUCCUGUCGCUGCCGGGUCCCCGCUGAGCUGCGUGUGCGCAGAUGGGCGGGACACGGGCACGGGGACGUGGCUGCGGCGCUUUGUGCGGUGCCCGCAGCUGUGAGAGGCCUGGCAGGACAGCAGGGAGCUCUCGCCUGGGAAGCAGACCGUGACACCCUCCUGAUGCGUUGCUGAAGCGCAGUCCUGCAGCCAGCCUUGCGAAGGCUUCACAGGAGAAAAGAAAAGAAUGAAUUGAGAGAC
rnacentral:lncRNA from 1 species